AGGAACUUAAGUUAUACCUAAACUAGGGACCUUCAAAGCCCCCAAAAAAGACUGCUUUAGUUCCUG
rnacentral:tRNA from 1 species